GGGGCUGAUUUGGUUUCGACAGCAAGUUAAACAGGUAAGCGUAAGCAUGCCGGGCAGCGCAUAGUACCCCGUAAAUCUGUUGUGCAAAACACAAUUGGCGAAAAUAACUACGCUCUUGCAGCUUAGUCGAAUUACAGUAGGCUAAACGUAUCCGGGCAUCAGAUGCCUGGACGAGACAUUCCGCUGACGGGUCGUGCCUGAUUCCUUUCAGCAUACGGAGUGCUAACAAUUUCGGGCUAAUUCGGGUUUUGCUUUGGAGCCCGGGUGAAAAUUAAGAAGCUAAGUUUAAGUUCGGCUGUCUGUUGCCAGGCUUAAAUCGAAAACUAACAACAGAAUAAGCAUGUAGAAAACUUAUUGGUUUCUUGUUUGGACCCGGGUUCGACUCCCGGCAGCUCCACUA
rnacentral:tmRNA from 1 species